rnacentral:tRNA from 1 species
GGGAGUCUAGCUCAGGGAUAGAGCGCGUGCUUGGCAUGCACGAGGUCCUGUGUUCAAUCCCCAGUGCCUCCA